UUAUUUAGUUGGUCUGUCGUUAUUAGCUGAAACGAAGAAUCAAAGCCGUCAGUUGGGUAGGUCUUUGUUUCUGAUAUCUAUGAUCAUUUGUAUUCGGUAGCUACGUUGAUGGAAUGAGUGAUUAGAGAAUGCUUUGUUUUCUUUAACCCUUCAAGUCUCUAAAUAGGCCGAAGCUUCCCAUGCAUCAAGAUAAGAGAUUAAAUCAAAGAUCAAAUUUUGUUUGGAUCUGGUGAUGCCCAUUACUGUUUCAUUAGAUUCUGAAUUUUGGUAUGUUUGAGUCAGAGAAGGAAGCCAAGAAAGAAGUUUUCACGAAGUAUCGAGUCCAGUGGAGUGGAGUUCUUGAUACUCUCACCAAAGGUGUAGUUUCUUUUUCUGUAUUCCACCAUUACUUAACCUUUUGCGACAAUUAUGUUUUCUUAAACACGAUCUGUUCUGGAUAAUAACUUGAUUUAUGCCAACACAGUGGUGGUCUUCAAUGUAGUUAUUGUUGCUUUGUA